rnacentral:lncRNA from 1 species
ACUUUAGCUAAUGGGUCUCAAACUAAAGCAAAAGGAGUUGGACAAGCAAAUCCUCUACCCUCUGUCACUCUAGAUUCCGUUUUUUAUGUCCCUGGCUGUCCUUUUAAUCUUGCAUCUGUGAGUCGUUUGACUCGUGCCCCCCAUUGCGGAAUAUAUUUUGUUGAUGACUCUUUUAUUAUGCAGGACCGCAGUAUGGGACAGACGAUUGGAACAGUACUUGAAUCAGACGGACUCUACUACCUUAACUCACUAACAUCCUCUAAGGCCUGUCUAGUUGCAGAUCCUCCUGACCUACUUCACAGUUGUUUAGGAAAUCCUAGCUUGUCCAAGCUUUAGAAAAUGGUGCCUCAUUUGUCCAGUUUAUCCACAUUAGAGUGUGAGUCAUGUCAGCUCGGGAAACAUACCCGUGCCUCCUUUCCUCGUAGUAUUGAGAGUCNNNNNNNNNNNGAGUCAUGUCAGCUCGGGAAACAUACCCGCGCCUCCUUUCCUCGUAGUAUUGAGAGUCGUGCAGAGUCUGUUUUUUCUUUAGUUCAUUCGGAUAUAUGUGGUCCUAGUAGAGUAUGUUCAACCUUGGGAUUUCGUUAAUUUGUUAGUUUCAUUGAUGAUCAUUCAAGAUGUACUUGGAUUUUCUUAAUGAAAGAUCGUUCUAAGUUGUUUUCUAUAUUCCAAAAUUUUUGUGCUGAA